CCUACGGGUGGCUGCAGUGAGGAAUAUUGGUCAAUGGACGCAAGUCUGAACCAGCCAUGCCGCGUGAAGGAUGAAGGCGUUCUGCGUUGUAAACUUCUUUUAUCAGGGAAGAAACCUCAGUAUUCUUAUUGAGCCGACGGUACCUGAUGAAUAAGCACCGGCUAACUCCGUGCCAGCAGCCGCGGUAAUACGGAGGGUGCAAGCGUUAUCCGGAUUCACUGGGUUUAAAGGGUGUGUAGGCGGGCUUUUAAGUCAGUGGUGAAAUCUCCAGGCUC
rnacentral:rRNA from 1 species